rnacentral:lncRNA from 1 species
CCUAGGUCUCUUCAGAUCUCUGGUCUCGCAGCUGAGCCUAGCACUGGCCUGGCUUGUUCUCCCAGAAAGAGCUCACUGUUAGCACAAUACACUCUUUGUGAUUAGAGGACUGAGGUCCCCCUAGGUAGAGGCCCCAACAGCACCCUUCCCUAGGCUCUCCCCACCACACAGACGGUCACUUCCUCACAGUUGACAGGAGGGCUUCUGAAGCUGUACCUUUUAAAGGUGAUAUGAUAAGAAAAAUUUUACAAAAGCGGAGUGCAGUGGAGCACACAUGUGAUCCCAGAGCCGGGAAGGUAGAGGAAACCCAUCUCAAACAAAUCAAUAAAAUCAGGUAAAGGGUCAUCUGGCUCUGCGCUAGGGUACUUUCCUAAGGUCUGUGGGGGCCUGGACUCCAUUCCUAUCACCUCAACCUCCCCC